UAUUUUAUAAAAGAUAAAGUGAGUUUUAUUUAUUUAUUGUUAAAUAGUAAUCGUUUUUAAGUAACAUUAACUAACUAAGCUUGGCUCUGACUUAAUAAUAUAGCAGGAACAUAGUAAUACACAUGGUUUUUAUUGAAAGAGGUGAGGUAAGAAUAAGUGUAAUCAAGGUAAAUUAUAUAGAUUAACAUUAUUUCUUAAAGUAUUAUAGAUAUAGAAAAUGCUUUGAAAAGUCCCACUAACACCAGUGCUGAAGGUUAAUUAAAGGGUGAAAACCCGAAUUAACUUUGUACAUAAGAUCAGGUUAACUUGGUGCCAGCAUCCGCGGUUAUACCAAGUGAUUAAGUUAUAUCUUUAGGUAAAAAGACAGUUAGGUUUCUAAAAAUUUAGUUUAUUGACCGCCUGUAAAAAAGUAAAAUUUGUAUAUAGGUAGCUAAUCUGGAAAUGACUAUAAUGCUGAAGCUGUGAUAGUCUUGAGGGAAACUGGGAUUAGAUACCCCAUUAUUCUUGACUGUAAAUAUAAUUAAAUUUACCAGAGUACUAUGAAUAGUUAAAGAUUUAAAACUCAAAGGGCUUGGCGGUGUUUUAGACCAAUCAGGGGAACCUGUCUCGUAAUCGACAAUCCACGUUAUAUCUAACCUCAUUUUGUAUUCAGUUUGUAUACCGUCGUCGUCAGGUAACUUUUAAAAAUAUAGAAGUUAGCAAUAGAAAUUAUGUAAAUUAAGACGUCAGAUCAAGGUGCAGCCUAUGAUGAGGAGAGGAUGGGUUACAAUUAUUAAAUUUAUAAUCACGGAAAUUUAAAUGAAACCAUAUUUGGAAGGAGGACUUGAAAGUAAACUAAAAUAUAUAAAUAGUUUGAAUAAGGCUCUGAAACGUGCACACAUCGCCCGUCGCUCUCGUUGAAAAAUGAGAUAAGUCGUAACAUAGCAGGGGUAAUGGAAAUUGUCCCUAGAUG
rnacentral:ncRNA from 1 species